UAGGAACCGUGAGAUUAAGCCAUCGCGGCAGGUGCUCACGUUAAGCCCACUGACUUUCAUGUCCCUAUCUACUAUCUAGCGAAACCACAGCCAAGGGAACGGGCUUGGAAUAAUUAGCGGGGAAAGAAGACCCUUUUGAGCUUGACUCUAAUCUGGCAGUGUAAGGAGACAUAAGAGGUGUAGAAUAAGUGGGAGAUAUUAGACUUCGGUUUGGUAUCGACAAUGAAAUACCACUACUCUUAUUGUUUCCUUACUU
rnacentral:ncRNA from 1 species